CCACAAACCAUCACCGGAAUUACACAAACCACCAUCAACAACCAAGAUUUACAGAAAUCACCGCCUAAUAUGUUUUUUUUAAAUCUUGUAAUUCCUUUUUUCGUGUACAGCCGAGUGUUUUCAGCAAAAAAAUCUGAGAAUCGUUGAUCUGCUAUUGAUAAUUCUUAUAAACACUCGUGGUUCUAAUCUUUUUCUUUCUCGGUUGCAUUGCUUAGGAGAUUGGUAACUUUACUGAUUUUGAUUUCAUAAAUUAAAUGGAUAGAGGUUUAAAAUGUAGCUUU